ACGAACGCUGGCGGCGUGCUUAACACAUGCAAGUCGAACGGGGUCCAUCCAGUAGCAAUACUGGUGAAGAUCUAGUGGCGAACGGGUGCGUAACACGUGAGGAACUUGUCCCGGUCUCUGGGAUAACAGUUGGAAACGACUGCUAAUACCGGAUGACGUCGGAGCGUCGCAUGGCGCGCUGACGAAAGGGUUACCGGAUCGGGAGAGCCUCGCGGCCUAUCAGCUUGUUGGUGGGGUAAUGGCCUACCAAGGCAUCGACGGGUAGCUGGUCUGAGAGGAUGAUCAGCCACACUGGACUGAGACACGGCCCAGACUCCUACGUGGAGGCAGCAGUGGGGAAUCUUGCACAAUGGGCGAAAGCCUGAUGCAGCAAACGCCGCGUGCGGGAAGAAGGCCCUCGGUUGUAAACCGCUAUUCAGAAGGAACGAAUACUGACGGUACUUUCAGACGAAGGUGCGGCCAACUACGUGCCAGCAGCCGCGGGAUGACACGUAGGCACCAAGCGUUGUCCGGAUUUAUUGGGCGUAAAGAGCUCGUAGGCGGUUCAGUAAGUCGGUUGUGAAAACUUUGGGCUUAACCCAAAGCGUGCGUCCGAUACUGCUGUGACUUGAGUUCGGUAGGGGAGUGGGGGAAUUCCUAGUGUAGCGGUGAAAUGCGCAGAUAUUAGGAGGAGAACACCGGUGGCGAAGGCGCCACUCUGGGCCGAAACUGACGCUGAGGAGGCGAAAGCAUGGGGUAGCAAAACAGGAUUAGAUACCCUGGUAGUCCAUGCCGUAAACGUUGGGCACUAGGUGUGGGUUCCAACCAACGGGAUCCGCGCCGUCGCUAACGCAUUAAGUGCCCCCGCCUGGGGAGUACGGCCGCAAGGGUUAAAACUCAAAGGAAUUGACGGGGGCCCGCACACAAGCGGUGGAGCAUGUGGUUUAAUUCGACGCCAACGCGAAGAGAACCUUACCUGGGCUUGACAUGCAGGGGAAACCGCGUGGAAAACACGGGGCCUCCUUCGGGACUCCUGCACAGGUGCUGCAUGGCUGUCGUCAGCUCGUGUCGUGAGAUGUUGGGUUAAGUCCCGCAACGAGCGCAACCCUCGGCCCUAGUUACCAGCGGGUAAAGCCGGGCACUCUAGGGCGACUGCCGGUGCCAACCGGAGGAAGGUGGGGACGGACGUUCAAGUCAUCAUGGUCCUUACGUCCAGGGCUACACACGUGCUACAAUGGGUGGGGACAGAGGGUCGCGAGACCGCAAGGUGGAGCCAAUCCCAGAAAGCCACCCUCAGUUCGGACUGGGGGCUGCACCCGCCCCCAUGAAGCUGGAAUCGCUAGUAAUCGUGGGUCAGCUACGCCACGGUGAAUACGUUCCCGGGCCUUGUACACACCGCCCGUCACGCCAUGGAAGCUCGGAGCGCCCGAAGUCGGUGCCGGAACCCGCAAGGGGCCAAGCCGCCGAAGGCGAGCCGAGUGACUGGGGCG
rnacentral:rRNA from 1 species